UGGCUCAGUUGGUAGAGCAUGGUGUUUGCAGCGCCAGGCUUGUGGGUUCGAUUCCCAC
rnacentral:tRNA from 1 species